rnacentral:rRNA from 1 species
GAUGAACGCUAGCUACAGGCUUAACACAUGCAAGUCGAGGGGUAACAGGGUAGCAAUACCGCUGACGACCGGCGCACGGGUGAGUAACACGUAUCCAACCUUCCCAUAACUCAGGGAUAGCCUUUCGAAAGAAAGAUUAAUACCUGAUAGUACUUAAGAAAGGCAUCUUUUUUAAGUUAAAGAUUUAUUGGUUAUGGAUGGGGAUGCGUUCCAUUGGAUAGUUGGUGAGGUAACGGCUCACCAAGUCUUCGAUGGAUAGGGGUUCUGAGAGGAAGGUCCCCCACAUUGGUACUGAGACACGGACCAAACUCCUACGGGAGGCAGCAAUGAGGAAUAUUGGUCAAUGGGCGAGAGCCUGAACCAGCCAAGUAGCGUGAAGGAUGAAGGUCCUAUGGAUUGUAAACUUCUUUUAUAGUAGAAUAAAGUGAUCCACGUGUGGAUUUUUGUAUGUAUACUAUGAAUAAGGAUCGGCUAACUCCGUGCCAGCCGCCGCCGUAA